rnacentral:rRNA from 1 species
GUGGCGGACGGGUGAGUAACGCGUGAGGAACCUGCCUUGAAGAGGGGGACAACAGUUGGAAACGACUGCUAAUACCGCAUGACGCAUAGGGGUCGCAUGAUCUUUAUGCCAAAGAUUUAUCGCUUCAAGAUGGCCUCGCGUCUGAUUAGCUAGUUGGCGGGGUAACGGCCCACCAAGGCGACGAUCAGUAGCCGGACUGAGAGGUUGAACGGCCACAUUGGGACUGAGAUACGGCCCAGACUCCUACGGGAGGCAGCAGUGGGGAAUAUUGGGCAAUGGGCGCAAGCCUGACCCAGCAACGCCGCGUGAAGGAAGAAGGCUUUCGGGUUGUAAACUUCUUUUAAGAGGGAAGAGCAGAAGACGGUACCUCUAGAAUAAGCCACGGCUAACUACGUGCCAGCAGCCGCGGUAAUACGUAGGUGGCAAGCGUUGUCCGGAUUUACUGGGUGUAAAGGGCGUGCAGCCGGG